ensembl:lncRNA
GUUUUCCAUGGCAUAAAAGAUCCCACCAAUGGGAGCACAGUAUGCAGGGGCAUCUGAAUGGGAGCUGAUCUUGGAGAAGGAUAAAGAAGUUCUUGUUUCAAGGGGGCCAAAGAAGAUGUGGAGCAUAGACAAUGGAGAAGUUUUUGUUAAGAAACAGACAAAAUGUUUUCUGUCCUGAAGAAGGAAGAGGAGGAUAAAGAAGUAGCAGAGGACAACAUGGAAGGAAAACAGAACAAAAGCAAGUUUCACAGUACUCUGCAGUGUUCUACUCCUGUAAGCUUACAGCAGUCACUGCUGGAAUCAGGAACAGAAGAAUGUGGUCAUGCAUGUUGAUAUUCAGAUUGGACCUAAUGCAGAACAAACUCUUCUGGAGAAAAAUCACCUCCUCUCCUGUUAGCCAUGCCUUACUUCCUGAUGCAGAAAAGGAUUUGGAGGCUCAGAGUGGGAAUUGGCAUCUUCACAAUGAGCAGAGCACCAGCAUUACACUAAUGAGCUGCCUGGCAUAUUCACCUGUGUACCACUCCACUGAAGCCCUUCUCUUUCAUGGUAUGCUGUGCAGAGUGAAGGCAGAGGCAUUGAGGCAGCUCAGGUGGAUGAAAGCCCCCUCAGACUUCGCUGAACAUGACAUAGCCUCCUUCCAUUCUUUCACACCUGCAAGCAAAUGUCUUGAGCCAUGUGGACACAGUCAGGUGAUCCUUGCCUUAGAAGAUCUUCUUACACAUGCUGACACCAAGGCUGCAGAGCAAGUCUUUCCUGAUUUCAUGGUACAGAUGUAAAGGCUGCUUCAUGCAAGUCUGUCCGUUAAACACUUGAUGCCCCACUCACUGCUGGAGCUGCUCUGAAGUCUUCAUAGGAGAUAAAACCAAACAAUGCCUCAAAGUGCUUUUAGAAGAUGCAGAUCCACUACAGCUCUUUCCUUUUCUAGGGAUAGGUUUUACUGGAAACGUUUGGCAGACAGUCAGAAGAUGGUGAGUACCAACAGGUUUCACUGCUGCAUUCACUUUGCUGGGAGAUGCCAUGGAAUGUAAACUUCUCUAAUGACAGCUCCUUCAAACCCUUUUCAGUCUUGUCAAGAUUCCUUAUUAAUAGCAGAGAAGUAAUCUUAGUCCUUUCAGUGGCAGCAAUUCUCUAGGCAACUGCUGAAUUUGUAAGAAUACAGAUGGUGCCUGCCAUUUCUUUUUUUUUCAGUACCACACUGCAUUCCUCACCUGACAUGUGGAACUUGUUUGCUACCAUAAUGCGUCAGCUGCAGACACUUUUCUUAGAGGUAAAAGCAGUUUUGCUUGCAUUUUUCUUGGCAUCAUUGAAUUUUGCCCACCUGCAGGCAAGAUUAAUUUUUUUUCCCCUUCUGAGAUAGCAGAGCUCGUGAUGGUGAUCUGAUUUGAAACUUGUUGGCACUAUGCCUUUUCCUCUCUGCCUCUGUGAACUGAUAGAGCUAAGCAUCGCUCUCCUUGUAAACAGCAAAAAAAAAAAACCAAAAA